rnacentral:misc_RNA from 1 species
UACGAAGGGUCCAAGCGUUAAUCGGAAUCACUGGGCAUAAAGCGUGCGUAGGCGGAUUUGCAAGUACCCUGUGAAAUCCCACCGCUCAACGGUGGAACUGCUCGGUAGACUGCGAAUCUUGAACCCGACAGGGGCUGUCAGAACGGUAGGUGGAGCGGUGAAAUGCGUAGAUAUCUACCGGAAUGCCAAUGGAGAAGUCAGGCAGCUGGGUCGGAGUUGACGCUCAGGCACGAAAGCAUGGGUAGCGAACGGG